AUGCCAACUCCACUUCAGAUUCCUGAAGGAAAAACUCCAGGAAGACAUGAGAGGAGGAUGUUCAUAUUCCCAGCUUACUACUCUGGUGAUUUAGAGGAAUUUCACUUUGGGUGUGAUCUAGUACAGUCUGUCCUAUUUGAAUUCAGCAUCUUGUUCCCAAUAGAAGAGGUCCUUCACUCUAGAUUGUCUGGUAUUUUGGACAGCCAGUACAACAGCAUGUCUCAGGAAUGGAAAGAUGAGUGUGACUGGAUCAGAGAGUGAAAGAGAAGAUACACUGGAAGAAACAGAAUUGCAAAAAGAGCAUGGACAACUGGAUUAGAUUAUCAUUAACAUGUUUGGUGACUCAGUGGGUUGAGAGCAAGCUGUAGAGAUAGGAUGUUAUUGGUUCAAAUAUGAUCUCCGACACUUCCUAGCUGUGUGACCCAAUAACUUCAUCCUCAUUGCUUAGCCCUUGUUGCUCUUUUGCCUUGGAACCAAUACAUAGUAUUGAUUCUAAGAUAGACAUUAAGGGUUUUUAAAAAAAGAAAACAAGUUUUACACAAAAGAAGGAGGGAACAAAAUAGAUGAGUAAUUUGGAGAAAAGGGUAAGUAUUGGAGAGAAGUCUCACAAUUGGCUAUCACAGAGAAGGUAGAUUGGCCAGGGAUGUACUGGUAAAUGUU
rnacentral:lncRNA from 1 species